rnacentral:rRNA from 1 species
UACGUAAGUGGCAAGCGUUGUCCGGAAUUAUUGGGCGUAAAGAGCUCGUAGGCGGUCUGUCGCGUCGGAUGUGAAAAUCCAGGGCUCAACCCUGGACCUGCAUUCGAUACGGGCAGACUAGAGUUCGGUAGGGGAGACUGGAAUUCCUGGUGUAGCGGUGAAAUGCGCAGAUAUCAGGAGGAACACCGGUGGCGAAGGCGGGUCUCUGGGCCGAAACUGACGCUGAGGAGCGAAAGCGUGGGGAGCAAACAGG